AAGUCGUAACAAGGUUUCCGUAGGUGAACCUGCGGAAGGAUCAUUAUCGAAUUUGAGAACGGGAGGAGCUGUGCUGGCCUUCAGGGGCAUGUGCACGCUUCGCUCGACCCCCCAACCAACACUUGUGAACCGUGUGUAGGAAUCGAGGCUUGGGCUUGACGCUGGAUAACGGCCGAUGGUCUUGGCACGUGGUGGGGUGUCGCUUCGACGCUGGAUAACGGCCGACGGGCUUCGCCUUGCGGGUUCCUAUGUUUUAUACACCCUGUAUCGUAUGUCUUAGAAUGUUUUUGAUCUCGGUUGCCCUAAAAAGCAGCUCGAGUUAAUAUACAACUUUCAACAACGGAUCUCUUGGUUCUC
rnacentral:misc_RNA from 1 species